AUUGAACGCUGGCGGCAGGCCUAACACAUGCAAGUCGAGCGGAUGAGGAAAGCUUGCUUUUCGAUUCAGCGGCGGACGGGUGAGUAAUGCCUAGGAAUCUGCCUGUUAGUGGGGGAUAACUCGGGGAAACUCGGGCUAAUACCGCAUACGUCCUACGGGAGAAAGUGGGGGAUCUUCGGACCUCACGCUAACAGAUGAGCCUAGGUCGGAUUAGCUAGUAGGUGAGGUAAUGGCUCACCUAGGCGACGAUCCGUAACUGGUCUGAGAGGAUGAACAGUCAAACUGGAACUGAGACACGGUCGAGACUCCUACGGGAGGCAGCAGUGGGGAAUAUUGGACAAUGGGCGAAAGCCUGAUCCAGCCAUGCCGCGUGUGUGAAGAAGGUCCUCGGAUUGUAAAGCACUUUAAGUUGGGAGGAAGGGUAUUCACCUAAUACGUGGGUACUUUGACGGUACCAACAGAAUAAGCACCGGCUAACUCUGUGCCAGCAGCCGCCGUAAGAC
rnacentral:rRNA from 1 species